GCCGAAUGAGCUAGGGGAUUGCAAAUCUCCUAUAUAGUGGCCUUGAAUUUAAUUUAGCU
rnacentral:tRNA from 2 species